UACAGAGGUGGCAAGCGUUGUUCGGAAUCACUGGGCUUAAAGGGCGCGUAGGCGGGUGUGCAAGUCUGUGGUGAAAGCCUCCAGCUUAACUGGAGAAGUGCCAUGGAUACUGCACAUCUUGAGGAGGGUAGGGGCAUCUGGAACGGUCGGUGGAGCGGUGAAAUGCGUUGAUAUCGACCGGAACUCCGGUGGCGAAGGCGAGGUGCUGGACCCUUUCUGACGCUGAGGCGCGAAAGCCAGGGGAGCAAACGGG
rnacentral:rRNA from 1 species